UGGGGAAUAUUGCACAAUGGAGGGAACUCUGAUGCAGCGACGCCGCGUGAGUGAUGAAGGAAUUCGUUUCGUAAAACUCUGUUCUAUGGGAAGAAAAGGACUGUACCAUAGGAGAAAGCUCCGGCUAAAUACGUGCCAGCAGCCGCGGUAAUACGUAUGGAGCGAGCGUUGUCCGGAAUUAUUGGGCGUAAAGGGUUCGCAGGCGGCAUGGCAAGUCCGAUGUAAAAGGCGAAGGCUCAACCUUCGUAAGCAUCGGAAACUGUCAAGCUUGAGUGAAGGAGAGGCAAGUGGAAUUCCUAGUGUAGCGGUGGAAUGCGUAGAUAUUAGGAGGAAUACCGGUGGCGAAGGCGACUUGCUGGACUUCAACUGACGCUGAGGAACGAAAGCGUGGGUAGCAAACAGG
rnacentral:rRNA from 1 species